AACCAUUCUCACCUGCGGCUAGACCUGCGGAGGGAUCAUUAUAAGAGUGUUCUACCCCCUGUAAAAAGGUGGGUUUAACCUCCCGUCCUUUGCUGAACCCCCCCCCUUUUGGAUGGGGGGUUUUCAAAAUUUCUGCUUCGGCUGGGUUACCCGUCGGAACACCCUCAAAAAAUUCUUGGUAAAAACCGUUCGGUCCGAGAAGCUUUUUGAAAAAAUUAGCGAAAAACUUUUAACAACGGA
rnacentral:misc_RNA from 1 species